UACUCUGGCCUCUUUGCCCUGCUCUUUUUCACUCGCUGGAUCUCAGUUUAUACUUCAGUUAUCUAGGACACCCUCCUAGCCCUGCCAACUCACUGACCAGAUGAGUUAUCCCUGUUAAACUCUAUCCUGACUCCCCUUCAUAGCAUUUCACACUUUAAAAAGAACCCAUCACUUGUGCAAGUGUUUGAUGACCAUCAGUCUCCUCCUGUAGACUACAGUCUCCACGUAGACAGGGACCAUCUCUGCCUUGUUCAGUGCUGUAUCUCCAGGCCCCUGGCAUGAUGUCUGACACAAAAGAGGGGCUUGAUCAAAGCUUGUGGCUGAAUACAUGAAACAGAGAACCUAAAGCCAAAACAGCAGCUGGUGCCAAUCCGGUCCAUUUCCUCAUCCCCAGAGAGGGACAGGGCCAUCCGGAGGGUCCUAGCCAAAUACCUCCGUGGCAGGUCAGGGCUGCAGAGCUCUCCAGGCAAGCUGGCCGUGGGGGCCAUCAACCGACUCCUCAAAGCCAUCUCUGCUUCAUGGUGGCUGGUCUUUAUCAUUUUCCAAUCAACACUGGUUGAAUUCUAAUUGAUUUUCUAUGAUAUCCCUCUCCAGAAGGGAGAAAGGCUCUGUUUAUUGGGGCAGUACGUAGAGGACAGGCCUUUUCUUCCUGCUGUAUUUAAUGCUGCUGCUAAUCACGGAGAUUAGACUAAAACAAUUACAACAGCUAAUUAAAGAACAAUGCGGUUUUUGGCAUCUUCGCACAGACGGCACCAUUGGGAAUUCCUAACUCGGGCAAAGCAGGGAUAAUUAAAACCCCGGCUCCACUCUCCCUACUCCAGCAGCUGGAUCACGCUGAUUAAACUGCAAAUAAAACACAUGAAACCAACACUUUGUAGUCUAUCCAAUUUCACUUAAAAGGGCUUUUAACUGAUUCAUAAACAGAGAAGCCGUAAACAGCAAAUUAUUUAACUAAAGCCAGUUAUUUCAUCAUCACGGUUUGCUUUAUUCCCAGCUCCGGACUUGUACAUAUAGCCCAGGGGACAGUAGGUUGAUGGGGCCUCAGGAAUCACUCCAGAGCUUACUGCCACUUGCUCCUGUUCACUGGCAACAGGAUGUCACCAGUGAGCAGCUGCUUUCUCUGGGCUUUUUCUCCUUUUGAAAAAAAAAAAGGUCGGGUAGUGCUCAAGUCCCUGAAUGACUAUGCCCAGGUCGGAUCAGACUCUGCUCUUGAUUCUAGGUCAAGAGCAGAUGGCAGAGAUACAGAAAGUUCUGAAGUGCAGAUAUUAAAAGCAUCAUAUUUAGCUUUGAAACACUUAACUUAUUCAGAGCUGGCCAACUACAGAUCUAAAAUGCAACCCAUAUCUACCAAAGUAUGAAACAGACUCGUUCUCAAGCUAUGGGAAGACAUGUCACAACAGCUGGGUAGAAAGCACAUUUGUUUCAGACAGGCACACUCUGAGAUCCCAGCUCAGGUCCCAUGCACACAUGCUUCCCAACUCAUCUUAACAAGCAUGGUCAUGGGGAUUGCUAACUCUCUCUCCACCCUGCCAACCCAGAGACAACAACGGAAAAAGUGAGAAAAAAAAGAAAAAAGAAAAAGGUCAAGGGAAAAAGAAAAGGACAGAAGAGAAAGGGGAGAAAAUGAUAACACUAGAGACAGGCUCACUGGGAGCAGCAAGAAGAGACAGAAAAAGAAAAAAAUACCCCGAGAAAGCAGACACAGGGAUUUUCAGAGCGCAGCAUGACACGUGCGGUGAGGACCUAGGAGCCAGCGCCUGUCCCUUUGUGGUGGCCGGGUAUGAUGGUCACGUUCCACGGCAGUGUUUCUCAAACCAGCUGUGGAGAAAGGCCUUUGCACGCCCAAUCUACUGCAGGGUGCUAAUUUUGCAAAAUAAAACAAAAAAAAGAAGCAUUAAAAAUAAAAGAUUGACUUGCUUAGGUGCCAUGCCAUGUCCGGUUACCAUAAAAGCUUCUGAAAGCUUGUCCUUCAUUUCUGAGCGUGUCUUCAUGCGCACAGUGAGAAACCCUGGGGAUGGCGCUGGUCCAUGGACCGACCACGCUCUGAGUAGUCCUUUUUGAAAAGAUCCCCCACAGUCAUUGGUAAUAAACGUAAUCAGAUUCAUAGGAUUCUAUUUAAUGUGCUCCACAUGUUUUCAGUUAACAAAUGUAGGCUUUCAGACAUACAUAAAUGUAGAAAACAAAGACCGGAAAGAAAUGCAUCAAAGAUUUUAUUUCAGAAUAAUGAUUUCACCGAUCUCUUUUCUUCUCUGUUUUUCAAGCUUUGUUAUAAAAUACUCAUGAAAGUUUUUUUUAAAAGAAUAUUCCAUUUAUGAAGGCAAAGAAAGAUGAUGCUUUAUCAUAACAUGAGUUAUAGCUAUUUAUAUAUAAUUAUGAAUGUUAUUUAUUUAUAAGUAUCUAUUAUGUGGUUCAAAAAACACUAUGUAACUGCAUGCAGCCUCAUGAAAAAAAAUUAUACAGCCAAUAUAUAUGAUGUUUGAAAAGAAUACUCUGGGGGUGGGGGGUUGUGGUGGCUCAUGCCUGUAAUCCUAGCACUUUGGGAGGCUGAGGUGGGUGGAUCAUCUGAGGUCAGGAGUUCGAGACCAGUCUGGCCAACAUGCUGAAAACCUGUCUCUACUAAAAAUACAAAAAAACUAGCUGGGCAUAGGUGGCAUGCACCUGUAAUCCCAGCUACUUGGAAGGCUAAGGCAGGGGUAUUGCUUGAACCAGGGAGGUAGAGGGUGCAGCGAGCUGAGAUCGUGCCACUGCACUCCAGCCUGGGCGACAGAGCGAGACACCAUCUCAAAACAAAAAGAACACUCUGAUUUUAGAAGAUACUUUUGUAAUUUUGGUUGAUCAUCUAAUUGCCAAUAUUGACCCUUUUCCGACCAAUGAAAACAGCAAUUUCACAUAAUUUAAUCUAACAUAAUAUUAAAUGCAAUCUAAAAGGUUCACAUGAAUAGAGGUUGAAAUCAAUUACGUAGAAAAUGCACAUACAUGGAAAAGAAAACUGGAAAGGAAUAUGCAAAAAGCUGGCAUGGUGAUUUUAUUUUUUCCUUCUUGGUCAUAUUCCAAAUUUCCAACCAUGGGAAUAUAUUGCUUUAUGAGUGGGGAAAAAAAAUUCCAUUCAAACAUUUAAUUCAGAGACACUGCUAGCAUUUUUGAGAGCCUUACCCUAAUCUGGCUACUUACUCUAUGUCUAUGUGUACUGGGAGAAGGAGGAUAAUGAGAAAUUUAAAUUCAUAAGCAUUAAUUGUUAGAUUAUUAAAUUAGCUCAUCAUCUCUAAGCAUGAACUGGGCAGGAAGCCUCAUGUCUUUGCAGGGGAAAGUCCCUCUGUUCAGGAGGGACCUGAGAUCCGUGUUCCCCUUGUCUGAAUCUGCCAUCCAUUAUCCUGAUCGUUUUCAAACAGCUUUAUUGAGGUAUAACAGACAUACAAAAAACUGCAUGUAUUUAACGUAUGCAUUUUGAAGAGUUUGGACACACGCAUAGACUCG
ensembl:lncRNA